GAUGAACGCUGGCGGCGUGCCUAAUACAUGCAAGUCGAGCGAACAGACGAGGAGCUUGCUCCUUUGACGUUAGCGGCGGACGGGUGAGUAACACGUGGAUAACCUACCUAUAAGACUGGGAUAACUUCGGGAAACCGGAGCUAAUACCGGAUAACAUGUUGAACCGCAUGGUUCAACAGUGAAAGACGGUCUUGCUGUCACUUAUAGAUGGAUCCGCGCCGCAUUAGCUAGCUGGUAAGGUAACGGCUUACCAAGGCAACGAUGCGUAGCCGACCUGAGAGGGUGAUCGGCCACACUGGAACUGAGACACGGUCCAGACUCCUACGGGAGGCAGCAGUAGGGAAUCUUCCGCAAUGGGCGAAAGCCUGACGGAGCAACGCCGCGUGAGUGAAGAAGGUCUUCGGAUCGUAAAACUCUGUUAUUAGGGAAGAACAAAUGUGUAAGUAACUAUGCACGUCUUGACGGUACCUAAUCAGAAAGCCACGGCUAACUACGUG
rnacentral:rRNA from 1 species